rnacentral:sRNA from 1 species
ACUCUGGGGCGGGACCUGCGGGAAGAUAGACAUGGGCUGUCGCGGCUUGAGGAGGGGCGGGGCCCAAGGGGCGGGACCUCGGGUGGCCCGAGGUGGCCCGGCUGCUGGGUUGGAAGCGGCGCAGUCCGACUCAUCCCGGCCCCGGGAUGGCGUCCCCACGGGAAUUGACACAGAACCCCCUGAAGAAGAUCUGGAUGCCAUACAGCAAUGGGCGGCCCGCUCUGCACGCUUGCCAGCGCGGUGUGUGCAUGACCAACUGCCCAACGCUCAUUGUCAUGGUGGGCCUGCCCGCCAGGGGCAAGACCUACAUCUCCAAGAAGCUGACUCGAUACCUGAACUGGAUUGGUGUGCCCACUCGGGAGUUCAAUGUUGGCCAGUAUCGCCGGGACGUGGUCAAGACCUACAAAUCUUUUGAAUUUUUUCUCCCCGACAAUGAAGAGGGCCUGAAAAUCAGGAAAUGAGGAAACUGAGGCUCAGACAGGCCAGGAGUCUCGCACAAAAUAGCAAGUUUACAUCAGCGUCCAGACUUGAAUCUAAGCCCAUCCACCGCUAAAAAGUGUCCAUCAUUCCAAUAUUCCUCAAUAGGCAGUGUGCCCUGGCAGCCCUCCGUGACGUCCGGCGGUUCCUUAGUGAGGAGGGGGGACAUGUGGCGGUUUUUGAUGCCACAAACACCACCCGAGAACGGAGAGCGACCAUCUUUAAUUUUGGAGAACAGAAUGGCUACAAGACCUUUUUUGUCGAGUCCAUCUGUGUGGAUCCUGAGGUCAUAGCUGCCAACAUCGUGCAAGUGAAACUGGGCAGCCCUGACUAUGUCAACCGCGACAGUGAUGAGGCUACGGAGGACUUCAUGAGGCGCAUUGAGUGCUAUGAGAACUCCUACGAGUCGCUAGAUGAGGACCUGGAUAGGGACCUGUCCUAUAUCAAGAUCAUGGAUGUGGGCCAGAGCUACGUGGUGAACCGUGUGGCUGACCACAUCCAGAGCCGCAUCGUAUAUUACCUCAUGAACAUCCACGUGACCCCCCGCUCCAUCUACCUCUGCCGGCACGGGGAGAGCGAGCUCAACCUCAAGGGCCGGAUUGGCGGGGACCCAGGACUGUCCCCUCGGGGCAGGGAGUUUGCCAAGAGUCUAGCCCAGUUCAUCAGUGACCAAAAUAUCAAGGAUCUGAAGGUCUGGACAAGCCAGAUGAAGAGGACAAUCCAGACGGCUGAGGCACUGGGUGUGCCCUAUGAACAGUGGAAGGUCCUCAACGAGAUCGAUGCGGGCGUCUGUGAGGAAAUGACCUACGAGGAAAUUCAGGAUAAUUAUCCACUGGAGUUCGCCCUGCGGGACCAGGACAAGUACCGGUACCGGUACCCUAAAGGGGAGUCCUACGAGGACCUGGUCCAGAGACUGGAGCCUGUCAUCAUGGAGCUGGAGAGGCAAGAGAAUGUGCUGGUCAUCUGCCACCAGGCUGUGAUGCGCUGCCUGCUGGCCUACUUCCUCGACAAGGCAGCAGAACAGCUGCCCUACCUCAAGUGUCCACUGCACACAGUCCUGAAGCUGACUCCUGUGGCAUAUGGUUGUAAAGUGGAGUCCAUAUUCCUGAACGUGGCCGCUGUGAACACGCACCGGGACAGGCCUCAGAACGUGGACAUCUCGAGACCUCCAGAGGAAGCCCUUGUCACGGUGCCUGCUCACCAGUGACCAUGUUCAUCCACUGUGACCACUAGGCAGGCACUGCUCUCUGCAGAGGGGGUCAUUCCAGGCCCUCCAGUGU